rnacentral:rRNA from 1 species
AUUGAACGCUGGCGGUAUGCUUAACACAUGCAAGUCGAACGAUGAGAAAGUGCUUGCUCUUUCGAUUAGUGGCGGACGGGUGCGUAACGCGUAGGAAUCUACCUAUUAGUGGGGGACAACUUAGGGAAACUUAAGCUAAUACCGCAUACGCCCUACGGGGGAAAGGAGGGGAUCGAAAGACCUUUCGCUAAUAGAUGAGCCUGCGUAGGAUUAGCUAGUUGGUGGGGUAAAGGCUCACCAAGGCGACGAUCCUUAACUGGUUUGAGAGAAUGAUCAGUCACACUGGAACUGAGACACGGUCCAGACUCCUACGGGAGGCAGCAGUGGGGAAUAUUGGACAAUGGGCGAAAGCCUGAUCCAGCAACACCGCGUGUGUGAAGAAGGCCUUAGGGUUGUAAAGCACUUUCAAUUGGAAGGAAAACCUCAUAGCUAAUAUCUAUGAGUUUGACAUUACCUUUAGAAGAAGCACCGGCUAACUCCGUGCCAGCAGCCGCAGUAA